CGAGUGGCGGACGGGUGAGUAAUGUCUGGGAAACUGCCCGAUGGAGGGGGAUAACUACUGGAAACGGUAGCUAAUACCGCAUAACGUCGCAAGACCAAAGAGGGGGACCUUCGGGCCUCUUGCCAUCGGAUGUGCCCAGAUGGGAUUAGCUAGUAGGUGGGGUAACGGCUCACCUAGGCGACGAUCCCUAGCUGGUCUGAGAGGAUGACCAGCCACACUGGAACUGAGACACGGUCCAGACUCCUACGGAAGGCAGCAG
rnacentral:rRNA from 1 species